rnacentral:rRNA from 1 species
GACGAACGCUAGCGGCAGGCUUAAUACAUGCAAGUCGAGGGGCAGCAUAAGUAGCAAUACUUGAUGGCGACCGGCAAACGGGUGCGGAACACGUACGCAACCUUCCUUUAAGCGGGGAAUAGCCCGGGGAAACCCGGAUUAAUACCCCAUAAUAUAUUGAGAAAGCAUUUUCUUUUUAUUAAAGAUUUAUCACUUAAAGAUGGGCGUGCGCCUGAUUAGGUAGUUGGCGGAGUAAUAGCCCACCAAGCCUGCGAUCAGUAACUGGUGUGAGAGCACGACCAGUCACACGGGCACUGAGACAC